UAAAUCUAUUAGAGUUCAUAUAUAUAAUGUAACAGAUUAGUGGCGCAGAAGGUCUUCUGCUGAAACCUUUGAAUAGCCAUUGUGAGACUGACCUUUGAUGCCUAUCUUGAACGCAUGGCCUUGACAUUCUGCACCACUAGUCUGUUGCAUUGCAUAUAUGAACUCUAAUAGAUUUA